CUGACUGAGAAAAGCAGGAAGCUGAGAGCACCACCGGCAGCUUCAGGAGGCCCUACAGUCCAACCCUGACCCGGGCAGGAGCGACUUCUGGAGAUUCCUGAAAAACCCCAGGACCAGAGGCUGGAGGAGGCCGCCCUCCCCACCAGGGCACAGGUUCUGUCUUCUGCCCGCCAAGGAAUGCCCAGUGCGAAAACAGAAAAAGCAGCAGAUACGAUGUAGCAAGAUCCUCAGGCCUCACAAUGGAAGAGAUUCAUGUGACACGACCACAGUCAAGACAUAGAAGAGUUCCAUCACAAGGAUCCCCUCUGCUGCACUUCCAUAGCCACAGACACCUCUGCUCUCUCAUCCCCUGACCCCUGCAACCACUAAUCUGUUCUUUCUAUAAUUUUAUUAUUUGAAGAAUGUUAUAUAAAUGGAAUCAUACAGCAUGUAUUCUCGUGAGAUUGACUUUUUUCACUUUGUACAAUGCCGUUGAGAGCCACCCAAGCUGUUGCCUGUAUCAGCAGUUCAUUCCUUCUUACCACCGAGUGGAGUUCUGUUGCAUCGAUGUGCCAAGGUUUGCGUCACCAUUCAAAUACUGGAGGGUAUUAGGGUUCUUCCUAGUUUUUUGCUAUCACGAACAUUUGUGUACAGUUUUGUUUCUCUAGUAUAAAUGCCCAAGAGGGCAGCUGCCAAACCCCAUGAUAAACACGUGUUUACUAUUAUAAGAAAC